rnacentral:misc_RNA from 1 species
UCUCCGUAGGUGAACCUGCGGAGGGAUCAUUACUGAGUGAGGGCCUUCGGGCUCGACCUCCAACCCUUUGUGAACACAACUUGUUGCUUCGGGGGCGACCCUGCCGUCCGCGGCUGAGCGCCCCCGGGGUCAAUCAAACACUGCGUCAAUUUGUGUCGGAGUACUUGUUAAUAAACAAAACUUUCAACAACGGAUCUCUUGGUUCUGGCAUCGAUGAAGAACGCAGC